GUGAGGAAUAUUGGUCAAUGGGCGGGAGCCUGAACCAGCCAAGUCGCGUGAAGGAAGAAGGAUCUAUGGUUCGUAAACUUCUUUUGCAGGGGAAUAAAGUGCAGGACGUGUCCUGUUUUGUAUGUACCCUGAGAAUAAGGAUCGGCUAACUCCGUGCCAGCAGCCGCGGUCAUACGGAGGAUCCGAGCGUUAUCCGGAUUUAUUGGGUUUAAAGGGUGCGUAGGUGGUUUGAUAAGUCAGCGGUGAAAGUUUGCAGCUUAACUGUAAAAAUGCCGUUGAAACUGUCGGACUUGAGUGUAAAUGAGGUAGGCGGAAUGCGUGGUGUAGCGGUGAAAUGCAUAGAUAUCACGCAGAACGCCGAUUGCGAAGGCAGCUUACUAAGCUACAACUGACACUGAAGCACGAAAGCGUGGGGAUCAAACAGGAUUAGAUACCCCGGUAGUCC
rnacentral:rRNA from 1 species